rnacentral:rRNA from 1 species
UCUUCCACAAUGGGCGCAAGCCUGAUGGAGCAACGCCGCGUGUGUGAUGAAGGGUUUCGGCUCGUAAAACACUGUUGUAAGAGAAGAAUGACAUUGAGAGUAACUGUUCAAUGUGUGACGGUAUCUUACCAGAAAGGCACGGCUAAAUACGUGCCAGCAGCCGCGGUAAUACGUAUGUUCCAAGCGUUAUCCGGAUUUAUUGGGCGUAAAGCGAGCGCAGACGGUUAUUUAAGUCUGAAGUGAAAGCCCUCAGCUCAACUGAGGAAUUGCUUUGGAAACUGGAUAACUUGAGUGCAGUAGAGGAAAGUGGAACUCCAUGUGUAGCGGUGAAAUGCGUAGAUAUAUAGAAGAACACCAGUGGUGAAGGCGGCUUUCUGGACUGUAACUGACGUUGAGGCUCGAAAGUGUGGGUAGCAAACAG